rnacentral:rRNA from 1 species
GGCGAACGCUGGCGGCGUGCUUAACACAUGCAAGUCGAACGGAAAGGCCCUGCUUUUGUGGGGUGCUCGAGUGGCGAACGGGUGAGUAACACGUUAGUAACCUGCCCUUGACUUUGGGAUAACUUCAGGAAACUGGGGCUAAUACCGGAUAGGAGCUCCUGCUGCAUGGUGGGGGUUGGAAAGUUUCGGCGGUUGGGGAUGGACUCGCGGCUUAUCAGCUUGUUGGUGGGGUAGUGGCUUACCAAGGCUUUGACGGGUAGCCGGCCUGAGAGGGUGACCGGCCACAUUGGGACUGAGAUACGGCCCAGACUCCUACGGGAGGCAGCAGUGGGGAAUAUUGCACAAUGGGCGGAAGCCUGAUGCAGCAACGCCGCGUGCGGGAUGACGGCCUUCGGGUUGUAAACCGCUUUCGCCUGUGACGAAGCGUGAGUGACGGUAAUGGGUAAAGAAGCACCGGCUAACUACGUG